GUCAAUAGUGUCUUAAAUUAGUCUCCAUAAAAAAUUGUCCAGAAGUUAAACAUGUCUAAAAUGAGAAUUUUUAAAAUAAUGCUUAUAGAUAGGCUACCACUUAAGCAAUUCCAUGGAUGAUAGAAAGUGGUCCUGCAGCAUCAGAUUUUCCAUGGAAAUGUAGUGAAUAAAACAAUGCGGGAUAUCAUAAACCACAAUUUAGCAUCAAUUCUUGGUGUUUCUUUUGCACUUGAAUAACUCUGAUUCCAUCGAAUAAUGAAUUUUGUUUUCUCACAAGAAUUCUUCACCCUUAUCUCUGGAUAAAAGGCCAGAGAAUAGGACUUCAACUAUUGCCUACCCAGCACCCAGUACCAAUUACCAUGCAAAAGCACAUCCAACCAAACGUUUUCUAAAAUACAUAAAUGCCGAAGACUAUACAUUGUGAAUCUAAUUAUGUAAUACACGUAGCUAUACAUUGUACACAAGAAGACAACAUUUGAGGAUCUGCGCUUGCUUUGCCUCUUGCAUCUUAUUUUUCUUCAAUUUUAGCUGCCUGCAGGAUAAAUAAUGAUAAUUUCCUUCUAUUCCUUUGAAUUGGGUUGAAUGACGGUACUUAUUGCAGAACAAACAGCAUCAACUGCUAGCUUCUUCAACAUAUUUGGACAUGGGUCAGGACCAAAGUUGCUGCUCGAUAUGGUAAUCAUGCAGCUCUCAUGUCCAAUGCAUUUCUUUUCUAUACUGGAAUGAGUGUUUGGUGCAUGGCAAGUUCCUUUCUGAAAACUUCCACAAGUUCCCGAAGGAGUACCAAAACUUGCAAAUUUUAUAGCUGAUAUCGAAUGCCCAGGUGCACACCGCAGGUGAACAUUGGCUUGGUGAAGCAUGGCUGAUUCACCAUGGUUCUCUGUAUGAUAAUCCUCAAUGGCUGGGUGGUGCUCAUAGGCAUCAGCGCAAACACUUGUGAUUGAUCUCUUAACAAGAGAUAUCUUUGAUAAAUCUCCACCUAGCUCUUCAAAAACUACCAACAUAUUUUUCAUUGGCUUCAACCAGGACCUUGGAAUAUUAUACCAUCGCUGUGUUGGUUGGCCACAACCAAGUUGGCAUUUUGUAGGCCGGAAUGUCCCAGCGUAACUGCAACGACUGCAGUCACCCUUUGCAUAAGCCAUCCAGUAUCUUCCAAUGCUCUGCCCAUUGAUCCAAACUUGACCCUUUCCCAUGCUGUUCAUGUCUAAAGCCAAUGGCUCAUUUCCUCUAGGUGCAUCAAAAUAAGCCUGAAAUUCUCACACCACAAAGCAUCCUCAUAAGUUUUAACUAAGCUUUGUAACUUUAAUUUCUGCUAUUCUGCACCUCGUACCUUAUGCCACUUCAAGAGCUGCCCUUGAUUUCUAGCUAGGGAUCCUUGGAUCCAUUCAACGGAUGAGGCUCCAUUUGGAGAGACCAGAUUCAAUGCCUCUCCUCUUAGACCAACCUGAUAGGACCAUUUAUACCAUGUUAAGUCCUUGUUUCCCUGAUUAAGGCCGUUCAAUGUAACUGGACCUAGUAUACCUGUUUUCCAUGUCUCAUAAUGCAACCCAACAUUCUUGAACAACAAAGAAAUUAAUUAGUCAGUACUUGAAAUACUUUUGAGGAACUACGAUCCAACUUGGUGUUUUUAUAGCAAGUUGAACUUCUCAUUUGAAUUAUAGAUGCUACACUUGCAUUAAGAAAGGGACGUGAGAAAGGAACCAACAGGCAACCCAACAGCUAUGCUGAGUAGUGAAAUUCUAUUCAUUCCAGCACGUAGGUUGACUGGUCCUGUAAAGGUGAUUUGCCUGUUCUCUCUAGUCCCAAAAGCCGAUCCUGAAAACUGCCCAUUGAUGAAGACAUGAAGACCAUGGCCUGCUGACUGCACAGUGAGACUAGGCUUUUGUCCAUUUUGAAGAAACGCUUCUGAUGGGCUAAUGUCAACACUGGGAUGAAAUUGAAGCUGAAAAAGUUAAUCUCAUGAUGCCAUAUGUAAGAAUCAUUGACAAAUCAAUCAUAUUGGGGUGACAUUGUGUGCUAUAGAUAGACCUAAUGGGAAUAAAGACAACAAAGGCACCAUCAAUCAAUCAGGCUUUUACCAUCUGCUACUUUCCUCCCUCUCCUCCCACCCCACUUCCCAAAUUUGCCUAACACUAACUCAAUGCAAAUCCUUCAUAAUCCAAAUACAAUGCAGCUGAGAGUAGAAUUGAAUACAUGUUAUACAAUGCUCCACUAGAACAAGGGAAGAAUGUCAUCUCUAAAAAUUUUUAAAUAUAAUACUUAAGGUGAGAUGUCAGAACUUAUGCCAUAACACCACUAUGGCAGCACAAUAGGCUACAUUGUCAAAGAAAAGUAAAAUUAAAUUUAUUUGAAUUCAUGAUGUGCUUUUAUGGUGUCUCCAGAUUUUUCAUUUUUUCAAUUAACUUUGCAAACAGGUGGAAAAAAUGAAGUGUUUAAUUAGUCUCUAUGUCAGGGAGUUGAUAACUAUGCAUAUAGUUUUGCACUGAGCUCACCUGGUCAAGUACCACAGAUAGUCACUAGAAUCUCUAGUGACAUUUAUCUGCUCCAAAAGUCCCAGAGAUGUCAUCCUUGAACUAUCCUCUAGAGAAGAGAUUUCUUCGUCAUAAGUCUCCCAAGAGAACAACUCAGAACCAGUUGGCAACAUCUGCAUAUGUGAAGUUUGAGUUCCAACCCUUGCAGUGUUAAAUACAACAUUCCUGCAAUCAGGAAGAAUACUGAUGGACCAGGGAGGCAAAUCAUAGUGCAUGUUAUUGAACAUGACCCUAGUAGCAGAGUUUGCAUGGUAAUUGGAAAGAAAAGCUGCACAGCUUCUCUGCCCUGAAGAAAAUAUAUGAGCCUGUUGGUAGGUUCCUAAUGAAGUUACUCUGGGAUCUGAAGAAACUAAAGCAUGUUCACAUAACUUAAUAGCUCUGUGAAGCUCUUUUAGAUGGCCAUAUUUAGGUUCCCUGAUCAAACCUAGACCAGUGAAAUUGUUAGCCACAAUAUACCUUAAAGCAUCUUGAUCUUUUGAGAUUUUCAUCAUGAUGGAUGUAAGCUGAGUGUUCUCACCAUAUUCAUCUAUUGGGGCAU
rnacentral:misc_RNA from 1 species